UACGUAGGGGGCAAGCGUUGUCCGGAUUUACUGGGCGUAAAGGGCGUGCAGGCGGUCUGUUUAGUCUAGGGUGAAAGCUCCCGGCUCAACUGGGAGAGGUCCUUGGAUACUGGCAGACUUGAGGGAGGCAGAGGAAAGUGGAAUUCCCGGUGUAGUGGUGAUAUGCGUAGAUAUCGGGAGGAACACCAGUGGCGAAGGCGGCUUUCCGGGCCUUACCUGACGCUGAGACGCGAAAGCGUGGGGAGCGAACCGG
rnacentral:rRNA from 1 species